UAACACAUACAUAUAAUUGUUAGUUGC
rnacentral:sRNA from 1 species